rnacentral:rRNA from 1 species
AGCGAACGCUGGCGGCAGGCCUAACACAUGCAAGUCGAACGAACUCUUCGGAGUUAGUGGCGGACGGGUGAGGAACACGUGGGAACGUGCCUUUUGGUUCGGAAUAACUCAGGGAAACUUGUGCUAAUACCGAAUGUGCCCUUCGGGGGAAAGAUUUAUCGCCAUUAGAGCGGCCCGCGUCUGAUUAGCUAGUUGGUGAGGUAACGGCUCACCAAGGCGACGAUCAGUAGCUGGUCUGAGAGGAUGACCCGCCACACUUGGACUGAGACACGGCCUAGACUCCUACGGGAGGCAGCAGUGGGGAAUCUUGCGCAAUGGGCGAAAGCCUGACGCAGCCAUGCCGCGUGAAUGAUGAAGGUCUUAGGAUUGUAAAAUUCUUUCACCGGGGACGAUAAUGACGGUACUCGGAGAAGAAGCCCCGGCUAACUUCGUG